GCGCAAUAGCUCAGUUGGGAGAGCGUUAGACUGAAGAUCUAAAGGUCCCUGUUUCAAUCCUGGGUUUCGGCA
rnacentral:tRNA from 1 species